AUGCUCGCUUUGCUAGCAUGUAUACUAAACCUGGGAUAAUGUAGAGAAGAUUAACAUGGCCUCUGUGCAAGGUUGACACCCACAUUUGUGAAAUGUUCCAUAUUUAA
ensembl:snRNA U6 U6 spliceosomal RNA